rnacentral:tRNA from 1 species
GCAGCUGUGGCGGAAUUGGUAUACGCGCUAGACUCAGGAUCUAGUGAGGGUUCCCUCGUGCAGGUUCAACUCCUGUCAGCUGCA